rnacentral:rRNA from 1 species
GUGUCAGCCGCCGCGGUAAGACAGAGGGGGCAAGCGUUGUCCGGAGUUACUGGGCGUAAAGCGCACGCAGGCGGCACGGCAAGUGUGGUGUGAAACCCGCCGGCUUAACCGGUGGACGCCAUCGCAGACUGCCGCGCUCGAGCCGUUCAGAGGUCCCUCGAAUUGCCGGUGUAGUGGUGAAAUGCGUAGAGAUCGGCAGGAAGACCCACGGGGAAGCCAGGGGACUGGGAACGUGCUGACGCUCAGGUGCGAGAGCGUGGGGAGCGAACCGGAUUAGAAACCCCAGUAGUCC